rnacentral:lncRNA from 1 species
AUUGAUCCUAUAUUAGAAGACCAGAUUUAUAAAGAUGACGUACAAACUUUCUUAUAGCAACAAAGAAUCGCACGAAAAGAGUAACGUCAACAAAAUAAAAAAUUUGUUAUUGAAGUCUUGUUCUUGGAAGGUAGAUACUUGGUAUUUUAAAUAAACAAAAGCAAAACACUAUAUAAUAGAACAAAGCUCCAUCUACGCUGAACCUCCAUCUCUGUUUCCACCUCUCUCUUUCCAACGCAAAGGAUAAGCACGAUUCUUAUUCCCUCAUUGCCAAGCUUAUCUAGUUCUUUUAUGUAUAAAAGAUAUGAACUUCUAUCUUCUUUCUGUAAGAAAUAGACAAAUGCUGGCUUUCUUUCAAUAAUUAGCAAACUGAAUUCUGCCAAAGAUGUCAUUGUUGAAAGAUUUUGGUACAUCACAAACACAAGUUAUUAGACUAUGAUAUACCUCAAUGAAUAAACGUAACAGGUUGAAAACUAAUCACAAGCCAACAAAUUGUAGUUGAUCCUUAGAAAUCAGGUGAUUCCUAGCUAUUCUCAAACUCAACCCCUUUAGCAAAGGGGUUCCCACACAAUUGCUGCCAACUUCAUUUGUUCUAGUAUUAGCCUCUAAAUGUAGUCAUUGAAAGUGAUGAAAGCUAAAAUGUCAAGUUGAAAAGAACAAUAACUACUCUAUAUUGAGCGGCUAUAGACCACAUGAAGAAUAAACUUGAGAAUGAAAACAGCAUAGAGAAAAAGAAUAGAUAUUUGAUUUUCUACUUCUCUUCGGUCGAUGCAAUUCUCAAAACUCUGUUGCCUGGAGGUAGAGUAAUAACUAUGACUUCAAUUUCACAUAAUACUAACAAAUAAUGACUUAAAUUUCAUAGAGAAACAACUUCUCUAUGGCGAUUUGAAAAAAAAAAAAAGAGUACUAAAAAACAGAGGAUGAAGAGAAAGACAAGUAUGGUCAAAUCCUGUAUGAUAAAAGAUAAGAAGGCAUCUUCAAAUUUGUAGGAAAAGCAAGUUGUUGGUUCUAAUUUGCCAAAUAUUGGUAUUGUAUCUUUUGCAAGAGUAAGUGCAUGUAGUUUAUAUCAUCUCUCCAUUGAGUGUUCUCUUCACAAGCUUCAUUCUCUCAAUUUUAACAGCAUCACAAUAGAUCAACUGUUGUCCUCGUUAGAUUGAUAUUUUCGCAUCAUGGUGGGCAAUUAUAGUUGGUUGAUUGAGAAAGCUAAAAGGUUAAAAUGGGGUGUGAAGAGAAGCUAUUAGUUUUGCAACUUUAAUUGUCACCUUUAUGUUAAGUUUUAACCAUAAAAAUUGAUCACCGUUUAAGCUACCUUUAUGCUUUAUUUAAAUGUCAAACCCCCCAAAAAGGCAGAAACAACAUGAUCUAAGGAAGAGAAAGAACAAUUCGAUAAAAAGGCAAGAAUAUGACAAAAAAAAAAUUAAAAAAGAUUUCCUAAGCAUUGUAAUGUUGCUGCAAAUAAGUCAUUUUCUGAUUACUAAAAUAUUACUUUGUAUAUUAAAUGCAUUAGCCGCUCGUAAAUCAGAACUUCAAGGGAUGGACUCGACCGAAUGGCCAACCACUUAAUAUUUUUGUAGGAGAUGAAAUCCAAAAGGAGAAGGAAAUAAUAACAUGGCAAAUAUAGUAAUACUAAUAUACAAGAAUUCGGUAUAAUCAAAAUAAAAUAUGAAUUAACAGGAAGUUAAAAAUCUAAUAAUCGAAACUCCAUAUGAUUAAACUAUAAUGAACAUUUAGAGACACUGUAUAAUUGAAUGAUCACAAUUAUUCAAGGCCGUUUGUUUCGUUUUUCUCUACAGCUAUACAAGAGUGUAAAAGAAUUACCGACCUGCAUUUGUUGAGUGGUUUGUCCUGCAGUUGUGGAAAUUAUACCUCUCUAUAGGGUUUUUUGUCGAACACUUCAUCGGCGUCAACAUAACAUGCCCUGCUCAUUUGAUUUUUUCACAUAAUAAACUUGGUAAGUACUUGCAAUAAGCAACAGUUAAAAAAUUUGUGAAAUAUUCUAAAAGUUAACAACGACAACUACAAAAAAAAAAUCAAGUAUAUUCAUUUAAUAACAAAAGGACAAAAUCUUAAAAUAUUGAAAUUGGGAAUAGAUAAUAGUAGAGAUACCUUCAUCUUGCAGGUAGAAUGCAGAGAAAACAAACUAAACAUGAAAGAGAAUAACUAUGUUCCAAAACGAUAAAGAUGAGAUUUACCUUGAGAAUUGAGAGAAACAACUUUGUGACGAUUGGAAAAACAGAAUAAGUAAUAAAACAUAGAGGAUUGAAAAGAAAGCAAGUAUGGUAAUUAAGAGAGCAAGAGUGAGUUACUGUUACGAAAGGAAUUUAAGGAGAAGCAAUUGUUGGGGUUUUUGCCGUGACUGUAACCGAUAGAAUUUACAUAAAUACGGGACUGUGUAUUUAUCAGUAGGAAACUAUUCUUUUCUUUAUUUAAAAAAGCAAAGCUCUAAGAAAAGAGAUA